rnacentral:rRNA from 1 species
UACGGAGGGUGCAAGCGUUAUCCGGAUUCACUGGGUUUAAAGGGUGCGCAGGCGGGCUGUUAAGUCAGUGGUGAAAUCUCCGAGCUCAACUCGGAAACUGCCUCUGAUACUAUCAGUCUUGAAUACUGUUGAGGUGGGCGGAAUAGGUCAUGUAGCGGUGAAAUGCAUAGAUAUGACCUGGAACCCCAAUUGCGAAGGCAGCUCACUAAGCAGAUUAUUGACGCUCAGGCACGAAAGCGUGGGGAUCAAACAGG